GGGCAGUGGUCAUCUGCCAUGUAAAUGAUGAUUAUAUCAUCACAAAACAGAACUAUAUUAACAUGUAUAAAUAAUUAUAGCCUUAUAGUAAUGAUACCCCAUCACAAUGAUACAAUCAGUAAUGCAAUAACUGAAUGAGCAGAUUAUUGAAUGGCAACGUCUAUUAGUUAUCAAAGUUUUAAGCAUUAAGCAUAUGGGAUUGCAAUUUGCGCCAUCUUUUACCAAAAGUGUAUUUGCACUGUGAGAAGUUUUUUUUUUAAAAAGUGUUUCGGAUUUGGUUUCCUGCUGUGCGGGCCUGCUGGAAAAAAGAAGGCCCCGGCUGUGACAAUCAGUGUAGGACAGAGACUUUUUAUCUUCUAUCCUAGACGUCCUAUGUCUAUGAACACACAAGGAUUCAUAUAUGUCAUCGCCUGAACCUCACAUUACUAACAAGACUCAUGUCACUUGUUAACAGUAAUAGAUAAUAGUCAGUGUGUAUCAGACUGACUUAACAGUCAGAAAAUGUGUAUUACAUGUUUUCUCAUGCUUGCUGAAAGAUGUCCAGGUUUACUAUGACCUGUUCAGUUGUAUGUUUCCAGACACAAAUAGAAAUGAGCUUUCAGUAUCUUGUUAUAUGAAGCACAAACAUACAGUAAGUAGGAUUCACAGGAAUACAAAUUAACCUUCAGUCUAGUUGAGGACAAUUAAUUACAGUGAUGUUAAUUAAAAUGAUUGUCAAAUG